rnacentral:rRNA from 1 species
GUGGGGAAUUUUGGACAAUGGGCGAAAGCCUGAUCCAGCCAUGCCGCGUGCAGGAUGAAGGCCUUCGGGUUGUAAACUGCUUUUGUACGGAACGAAAAGACUCCUUCUAAUAAAGGGGGUCCAUGACGGUACCGUAAGAAUAAGCACCGGCUAACUACGUGCCAGCAGCCGCGGUAAUACGUAGGGUGCAAGCGUUAAUCGGAAUUACUGGGCGUAAAGCGUGCGCAGGCGGUGUUAUAAGACAGAUGUGAAAUCCCCGGGCUCAACCUGGGAACUGCAUUUGUGAAUGUAUAGCUAGAGUAAGGUAGAGGGGGAUGGAAUUCCGCGUGUAGCAGUGAAAUGCGUAGAUAUGCGGAGGAACACCGAUGGCGAAGGCAAUCCCCUGGACCUGUACUGACGCUCAUGCACGAAAGCGUGGGGAGCAAACAGGAUUAGAAACCCGGGUAGUCC